rnacentral:rRNA from 1 species
UACAGAGGUCUCAAGCGUUGUUCGGAUUCAUUGGGCGUAAAGGGUGUGUAGGUGGCGCCGUAAGUCGGGUGUGAAAUUUCGGAGCUUAACUCCGAAACUGCAUUCGAUACUGCGGUGCUUGAGGACUGGAGAGGAGACUGGAAUUCAUGGUGUAGCAGUGAAAUGCGUAGAGAUCAUGAGGAAGACCAGUGGCGAAGGCGGGUCUCUGGACAGUUCCUGACACUGAGACACGAAAGCGUGGGUAGCAAACAGG